ensembl:snRNA U6 U6 spliceosomal RNA
GCUCACUUCAGCAGCAGAUAAAAUUGGAACGAUACAGAGAAGGUUAGCCUGGCCCCUGCACAAGGAUGACACACAAAUUCAUGAAGCGUUCCAUGUUUUU